rnacentral:misc_RNA from 1 species
UUUCCGUAGGUGAACCUGCGGAAGGAUCAUUCAUAAUAAAGUGUCUUAUGCACUUUUUAAUAAUCCAUAUCCACCUUGUGUGCAAUGUUAGAUCUCGUCAAUCUUGGCGAGAUUUUUAUACAUCAACUCAUUCUUUAACUAAUUUGUCUGAAAAAUACUAUGAAUACUUAAUUCAAAAUACAACUUUCAACAACGGAUCUCUUGGCUCUC